rnacentral:tRNA from 1 species
GCGCCUGUAGCUCAAUGGACAGAGCGGCUGACUUCGAAUCAGUAGGCUGGGGGUUCGAGUCCCUCCAGGCGCGCCU